rnacentral:lncRNA from 1 species
GUCAGUCAAAAGUUACGAACUUGUAGUUAUAAAUUCAUAAGUACUAGAGAUGUAAUGUACAACAUGAUAAAGAUAAUUAACCCUGUUGUAUGUUAUGGAUGAAAGCUGUUAAAAGAAUAAAUCCUAAGAAUUCUCAUCACAAGGAAAAAAAUGUUUUUCUAUUUAAUUUUGUACCUAGAUGAGAUAAUGGAUGUUCACUAAACUUAUCAUGGUAUAUCAUUUCAUGACGCUUGUUAGAGCAUUAUGUUCUACACCUUAAACUUAUACUGUGCUUUAUGUCAAUUAUAUUACAAUAAAACUGGAAGAAAAAAUUUUAAGUAAAAUAAAUGACUACUGUUUGCAUUGGGAAGACCACUCAGAAAGCUGUUUUUCUCUACUGCGAAUGAAAUGUAUAUUGCAUUUCCCCUGAGUGAAACCUGGAAUUUUUAAGCUGGACUGGCAAGUGUAUCACCAUUAAUAAAUAGAAUUUAAGUGCUAGUUUGGAAGAUGAAAGUUCUUCUAGUAGGCCCUGACUACAUAGUUAUACUCUCAAGGUGCUUAUAACUUAUCACAAAUAUACUUCAGGAUGUACAUUGUGGAAAAAGAUGUAAGUCAAAUACAUAUGGACAUUCUGCAAAAGCAAAGAAAUUUACGUUAUCAGAGGUAAGACAGAGAAGAGAGUAAAAAUAAUUCUCCCUGAUGCUGAAUCCAUUCAUAGCUGGUAAAAUAAUUAUGGACAUUUUUUCCCUCACAUCAGUUUAGUCACAGAUAUGUGAAGCUUGGUGCCGCCACGAGAUGUGCCAGCAUUUCUUCAGAGCCCCCUCCACAGCACCCGAGAAGUCUGAAGUCAUUCAGAGGUGGUUUGGUAAACUGUGAUCCCGACCCAUUUCUUCAAGGAAGAUCUCUGGAGACACAAAUGAUGAAACAGAAGAUCCUUGGGAUAAAGUGACUCCUGGGUGAUAUUUUACAACUAACUUUAAGCGACUUUGGAAAACGGCAGCACAGCUAGAUUAACCCCGUGCUGAUGAUUAGGGAAGAGAAAUGCAACUCGUGGGCAAAAUUAUAAUAAUGGUUUUCCAAAGGACACUUUAAAUGUCAUUUUAAAAUGACACUUAGGGGGUUCCUACUGUGGCCCAGUGGCUUGAUGUCUCUGUGGAUACGCUGGUUUGAUCCCCAGCCUGGAGAAGCAAGUUAAGGAUCCGGCAUCGAGGCAGUUUUGGUGUAGGCUGCAGUUUUGGUGUAGGCUGCAGCUCUGGCUCGGCUUCCAUCCCCGGCCCGGGAACUUCCAUACCCCUCCAGGGCAGCCCAAACAGAAAAAAAAAUAUUAAAAUGACUCACAAUUUUUUUCAUGCGUGUAAUUUGCAUAAAUAAACCAGUGUGAAAUGAGCA